rnacentral:rRNA from 1 species
GAGGAAUAUUGGUCAAUGGGCGAGAGCCUGAACCAGCCAAAUCGCGUGAAGGAUGAAGGUAUUAUGUAUUGUAAACUUCUCUUAUCGGGGAAUAAAGUGCACCACGUGUGGUGUUUUGUAUGUACCCGAAGAAUAAGGAUCGGCUAACUCCGUGCCAGCAGCCGCGGUAAUACGGAGGAUCCAAGCGUUUUCCGGAUUUAUUGGGUUUAAAGGGUGCGUAGGCGGACUGUCAAGUCAGCGGUGAAAGUCCAUGGCUCAACCAUGGAAUUGCCGUUGAAACUGUCGGUCUUGAGUGUAGAUGAGGUAGGCGGAAUUCGUAGUGUAGCGGUGAAAUGCUUAGAUAUUACGAAGAACUCCAAUUGCGUAGGCAGCUUACCAGGCUACAACUGACGCUGAGGCACGAAGGUGCGGGGAUCAAAC